rnacentral:rRNA from 1 species
UACCGCGAGUGGAGCAAAUCCCUAAAAGCCAUCCCAGUUCGGAUCGCAGGCUGCAACCCGCCUGCGUGAAGUUGGAAUCGCUAGUAAUCGCGGAUCAGCAUGCCGCGGUGAAUACGUUCCCGGGCCUUGUACACACCGCCCGUCACACCAUGAGAGUCGGGAACACCCGAAGUCCGUAGUCUAACCGCAAGGGGACGCGGCCGAAGGUGGGUUCGAUAAUUGGGGUGAAGUCGUAACAAGGUAUC